rnacentral:lncRNA from 1 species
AUGCUUGUUUCAGAAGGUGCAAGAAGCCAUCCGUGAAAUGCAUGAGCACCUUUUCAGCAUCGUAGCCAGUGAGGGGGUAGACUCUAGCAUUGAGAACUUCCAGUGACAGUCCCACCGGGAGAGACCGCCUGAUGCAAGUGAACUCCCCUGCAACUCUGCCCAGAAAGGUCCUGCAUAGCACCAGAGAUGGAUGUGACCUGCUAGGAACUGAGCAGCCUAUAUGCCCCCACCUCUAUCCUGUUUUGGUGAAGAACUUUCCAUAGAAUAUCUUUGAUGUCUUCCGAUAUAAAUACAGCAAACAUGGGCUCCUUUCCUUUUUAGAAUUUGGACCAUUCUGGUCAGCUUCUGGUCUCUGCUCCCUCUUUGAAAAUUACUUUCUGUAUUCUGUUGUCAUUUCAUCGUUCUACUUUUCUUAGCUUUUAUUUUUCAGCCAGCCCAUCCCAUGGAAGGGAAACCCAAUCCUUCGCCCUUGAGGGACGUGGGUGAUAAGAAGGUUUUUUUUUCUUCUUUGAAGAACAGCUUUGUUGGUAUAGCAAUCUUUUUUGUUGUUAUUCUUUCUGAAAUGCCUUUUUAAAAAAAUUUUUUAUUUGUUUUAAUUAGUUAUGCAGGACGCUAGAAUGCAUUUAUGUACUUUGAUAUAUAAUACAUAGAUGAAGUAUAAUUUCUCAUUUUUCUGAUUGAACAUGUUGUAGAAUCACAUUAGUCAUGCAGUCAUAUAUAUAUAUAUAUACGUAAAGUAACAAUGUCUGUCUUAUUCUACUAUCCUUCCUAUCCUCAUAUUCCCUCCCCUUCCCUCCCUUCACUCCCUCUACCUAAUCUAAGACAACUCUAUUCUUCACUAGUGUCCCCCCUUAUUGUGAAUUAGCAUCUGUAUGUUAGAGAAAACUUUUGGUCUUUUUGGGGAGGGGGUAUUUACUUAUUUUGCUUAGCAUGAUAUUCUCUAACUCCAUCCAUUUACCAGCAAAUGCCAUAAUUUUUUUCUUUAAAGCUGAGUAACAUUCCAUUUAAUAUAUAUAACACAUUUUCUUUAUCCAUUCGUCUAUCAAGGGACACCUAGGUUGGUUCCAUAUUGUAGCUAUUGUGAAUUGAGCUACUAUAAAUAUUGAUGUGGCUAUAUCACUGUAAUAUGCUGAUUUUAAGUCCUUUAGAUAUAAACCAAGGAGUGGGAUAGGUGGGUCAAAUGGUGGUUCCAUUCCAAGUUUUCUGAGGAAUCUUCAUACUGCUUUCCAGGAUGAUUGCAUCAAUUUUCAGUCCCACCAUGUAUGAGUGUACUUUUUUCCCCACAUUCUCGCCAACGUUUAUUGUUGCUUGUAUUCUUGAUAAUUGAUGUUGUGACUGGAGUGAGAUGAAAUCUCACAAAAUGAAUAGUCCACCAUGCGGCCAGCGCAAUGGUUUCAUUAAUGAGGUUCUUGGCAUAAAAGUUAGCUAGAAGAGAUCGAAAUAAAACACACAGAUUUAGUUACCUUAUUUCUAUUGCCAGGUCCGAGAUGGCUCCCCUCUCUGGUUCCCUCCUCUAACCGCCCAGCAGGGCAACAAGGAUUACUCAGGGCUAGCAGGAGAGAGAGAGCGAGCACGCCAGGGAGUAGCCUUUUAUUGGGGAACAAGAAAUUCAGGGGAUAAUUCCAUCCAAUGAAGGUUGAGGGGGGGCCGCACUCCAAGGUCAGGGUCAGUGAUUGGGCCCCCGGGGUCAGUGGUCAGUCACACCCCCACACGGACGGGUUCUCUCAUCAGGAGAGGGCCGGGAAAAUUCCGACACAGCCAGAAGCCUCAGACCCAAACCAGGAGUCACCCAGUCACGCGUGAGAAUGGCUCCCCACAGAAUAGUUUUGAUUUGCAUUCACCUAAUCGCUAGAGAUGUUGAAUAUUUUUUCUCAUGUUUAUUGAUCAAUUGUAUUUCUUCUGGGAAGUGUCUGUUUAGUUCCCUUGCCCAUUUAUUGAUUUGGUUGUUUGUAUUUUUGGCAUUGAGUUAUUUGAGUUUUUUAUACAUCCUGGAGAUUAAUGCUCUAUUUGAGGUGCAUAUGACAAAGAUUUCUCCCCUUCUGUAGGCUCUUUCUUCACAUUAUUGAUUAUUCCCUUUGGUGAGAAGAGGCUUUUUAGUUUUAAUCCAUCCCAUUUAUUGAUUUUUGAUUUUACUUCUUACACUUUAGAGGUCUUAUUUAGUCAGAUCCUAGGCUGACAUGGUGAAGACUUGGGCCUACUUUUUCUUCUAUUAGGCACAGGGUCUCUGUUCUAGUGCCUAAGUCUUUGAUCCUCUUUGAGUUGAUUUUUGUGCAGGGUGAGAGAUAGAGGGUUAACUUCAUUUUGCUACAUGUGGAUUUCCAGUUUUGCCAGCACCAUUUGUUGAACAGGCUAUCUUUUCUCCAGUGAAUUUUUUGGCACCUUUGUCAAGUAUGAGAUAACUGUAUUUGUGAGGUUUGUCUCUGUGUCUUCUGUUCUGUACCAUUGGUCUGCAUGACUGUUUUGGUGCCAAAACGAUGCCAUUUUUGUUACUAUAGCUCUGUAGUGUAAUUUAAGGUGUGGUAUUGUGAUGCCUCCUGCUUCACUUUUCUUGCUAAGGAUUACUUUGGCUUUAUCCAGGUCUGUAAUUUUUCCAAAUGAAUUUCAUGAUUGCUUUUCUGUUUCUAUGAAGAAUGUCAUUGGGAUUUUAAUAAGAAUUGCAUUAAUCUGUACAAUGCUUUUGGUAGUAUGGCCAUUUUGGAAGUAUUAAUUCUGCCUAUCCAAGAGCAUGGAAGAUCUUUCCAUCUUCUAAGGUCUUCUUUGAUUUCUUUCUUUAGUGUUCUGUAGUUUUCAUUGUAG